GGGAGUGAACUAAAUAUUUAACGUGGAGUUUCGUCAAUAUGCAACUCGUGCAUAUUGAACUUCACUUAAUGUGUAGUGUUUGAUUGUGUGAUUUGUCAUGCCGUGACUUGCAUGUAUUCAGCAGCUCAUGCAUCAUAUGUGUUGUGCAUCGUAUGGUGAAUAUCGUGUGUUGAUUCUUGUUUUCGGUUUGCUUCGUCUCGAUAGAGUUUCGCAUCGUGCCGGAUUGUGAGGACCCGUUCGACUACGUCGGUUCGUCUGCUUUACGGAGUCAUUCUUCUUCCAAGCGGGAUCUCAGGCAAGAUGAUCAUUUCCCCAGAUACCAUUACUAUCAUUGCCAUGCUAGAUUUACCGUCUCUAUCGUUAUGUCUCGUUGCCUACCACAUGUUAAAUAUCAGCCUCUCAACAAUGCCAUGAAACCUUCAACCUGUUCAACCUAGCAAACCACUGAUUGGCUAUGUUACUGCUUGCUUAACCCUGUUGAUAGCGUUGCUAGUUGCAGGUGUAGUUGCUUCCAUGUGAAAACAUGGGUCCCUUGUCUUAUCAUCAUAUUAUAUGCUAUUUAAUUUAUUGCACCUCUAUACUUGGUAAAAGGUGGAAGGCUCGACCUUUCUAGCCUGGUGUUUUGUUCCACCUUUGCCCCCUUAGUUUCGGCUACCGGUGUUAUGUUCCAUAAAUGAGCGCUCCUAACACGAUCGGGGUUGUUAUGGGGACCCCCUUGAUAAUUUGUUUUAGAUUAAGGCUGGUCUGGCAAGGCCCAACUUUGGUUCUACAUUUUCCCAACAUAAUAACUUGAUAAUAUUGAAAUGCAUAGGGAGUUAGCGCUACCCGAGGAGUAAUUCUACAUAUUACAGGGGGGCCAGUGCUGUUGGUGCUGGUCCAAAACUAGAGCCGUUUGCGGGGCCAACCCGGGGCAACUCGGGAGAUUUCUAUCAGGCCACCGUACGCUGUGCUUAUACGUCGUGUCCUGAGAACGAGAUACGUGGCUCCUAUCGGGAUCGUCGACACGCCGGGCGGCCUUGCUGGAUUAGUUUUACCUUUGACGAGAUAUCUUGUGCAUCGGGAUUCCGGUGAUGCUUUGGGUAAUCUCAGAGUUGAGGUUUUCCACUAGGGAAUCCGACGAGGUCGCGAGCUUCGUGAUUGAGGAUUUCUAUGCGGCUUGUGGUAAUUUGUGAUGGACUAGUUGGAGCACCCCUGCAGGGUUAAAUCUUUUGGAAAGCCGUGCCCGCGGUUAUGUGACAACGUGGAUACUUUGUUUAACACUGGUUCUAGAUAACUCGAAGUUAAUUAAUUAAAACAUGCCUACCGUGUGCGUAACCGUGACUGUCUCUUUCGUGAGUUCCUUCUCCGAUCGAGGACACGGUGGGGUUAUGUCUGACGUAGGCAGGUGUUCAGGAUCAUUCAUUUGAUCAUCAGUAGUUCACGUUCGUUAUGCGUAGAUCUUCCCCCUCUCAUUUCUUGUACUCAUAAGUUUAGCCACCAAAUAUAUGCUUAGGCGCUGCUGCAACCUCACCACUUAACCAUACCUCACCCAUUAAGCUUUACUAGUCUUGAUACCUUUGGAAAUGAGAUUGCUGAGUCCCCUGUGGCUCACAGAUUACUACAACACCAGUUGCAGGUACAGGUAGAGGGUACUUGACGCGAGCGUGUUGAUUGUUCAUUUGGAGUUGCUUCUUCUUCUUCUUCUUCUUCAUCGAUCUAGGAUGGGUUCCAGGCCGGCAUCUUGGGAUAGCAAGGAUGGACGUCGUUCUUCUUUUGUCGUUUGUUUUCGUCCGUAGUCGGACCCUGCUCUUACUCUUGAUGAUUAUGUAAUGUACUGAUGUGACUGAUGUAACUUGUGACGAUUGUAAGCCAAUUCUAUAUAUCUCUUCUUUUCAGUACAUGUACUUGUAACGAUAUCCAUUCUUGCGACACGACGAGAUGCGCUUCUAUCCCUGACGAGACCCUCGUGCCAAAUUGAGGAUAGGGU
rnacentral:lncRNA from 1 species